CAGCAGCAGCCACGGGAAUACGAAGGGUGCAAGCGUUAAUCGGAAUUACUGGGCGUAAAGCGUGCGUAGGCGGUUUGUUAAGUCUGCUGUGAAAUCCCCGGGCUCAACCUGGGAAUGGCAGUGGAUACUGGCAAGCUAGAGUGUGUCAGAGGAUGGUGGAAUUCCCGGUGUAGCGGUGAAAUGCGUAGAGAUCGGGAGGAACAUCAGUGGCGAAGGCGGCCAUCUGGGACAACACUGACGCUGAGGCACGAAAGCGUGGGGAGCAAACAGGAUUAGAUACCCCAGUAGUCCCUGUCUCUUAUAC
rnacentral:rRNA from 1 species